rnacentral:rRNA from 1 species
UACGUAGGGUGCGAGCGUUGUCCGGAAUUAUUGGGCGUAAAGAGCUCGUAGGCGGUUUGUCGCGUCUGCUGUGAAAACUCGGGGCUUAACCCCGGGCCUGCAGGUGGGUACGGGCAGACUAGAGUGCGGUAGGGGGAGACUGGAAUUCCUGGUGUAGAGGUGAAAUUCGUAGAUAUUCGCAAGAACACCAGUGGCGAAGGCGGCUCACUGGCCCGAUACUGACGCUGAGGUGCGAAAAGCGUGGGGAGCAAACAGGG